AUGAACCUCCGUGUUUUUCAUCCUCUAGCCGGCAGAUACAACUGUUUAUCUCCCUGACACAUGAUGGAGGCCUCUCUGCCAUUUGGGUGUCCUGCUUCCUACUGGGCAAUGAUUGCAGGUGGAGUGGGAGGCCUUGCUAACAUGAUGAACAAUGUGGUAUAAGGAGCACUGGCUAAUUGUCUUGAACCUGUUCAUCUUCUCUUAUACCUAGGCCAGGUGAAGAUAAAGAGCAUUUGUGGAGGAGGAAGGCAGAUUCCAUCUCCAGAGCUCCAACUGCAUCCCUCAGCAAUAAACAGAGGCAUCAACAUUUGUAUAGAAGAAUGAGGAAGGAGAGCUUGCUCUCCUUAUAUGCACUUUCAUCUGGUGCUGCUGGAUCUGGACCCAGCACUGGCGUGCAGAGCUGUUCCUGGCAAUGGAAGCUGCCAGGCUGCCCAUCUACACUUCAAGCCUACCUGAGAUACCAGUCUUUAAUUUACAUUAAAGCCACAUUUACAGCAUGAUCCCCCCAAAAGUAGUACAUAUGCUUAGUAGUGGGAGCAAUAGUAGCCAUAGCAUGUGUUUUGUGUAAUUUUUCACCAGGGAUGGACCAGUUCCUCUAAAUUGAUUACUUUAUUUAGAGGGAUAAACCCCCCUGGUUUUCAUACUCCAGGA